GCGGCACGUGGGAUCCUCCCGGACCGGGCACGAACGCGCGUCCCCUGCAUCGGCAGGCGGACUCUCAACCACUGCGCCACCAGGGAAGCCCUGUGAGUAUGGAAAGUUUUUAGACUUCAGUGGAAAAGGAUUUCUGUUACUCAUUGUUAAUAACUCCUUAAUACUGUAACAUGUUCAUGCCUCUUCCACAUAAUUUGUUUUUCAGCAUACCGGAACUUUCGUUAUAACCUGCUUGGUCCUGAUAAAAUCUUAACAAAAACAAGUUAAAAUAUGUGGUUGUCUUUGGUAUUCUCCAUGCUAUAACCCAGUUUAAUUGAUGCAUUUGGGACCUGGAGUUGAAAUAACACCUACUGGAAUUCAGAAUUGCAUUAACAUUGCUCCAGUGGUCACAGGAACAGAAAAAAAAAGAAAAAUAGAAUGAAUGAUUUAGAAAAAAAUGGCAACUUGGGGGGAAAAAAACCCUGAAAGAAGAAAAUAAGGAAAUUAAGAAUUAAGAAGAAGAAAGAAUUUACUUGGCAGCUUGCUUAGCCUCUCAGACCCAUCCUGUUGGGAGAGCUUAUACCAGCAUUAUUGUGCUAGAUGCCGCUGACGAGAGGGAGGUAUCAAAUGACCUAAAUAUGUGUCUACCAAGUUAUGCAUGAUGCCCAUAGUUACCAGGCUGAAGGGCUGAAGGAAUAGCAAGAGCCUAACACUCAGCAAGUCUAUUCGAGGCUGAAUUGGACGUUAUGAGGCAAUGAUGUUUAAAAAGAAAGAAAGUAAAGGACACUUCAUACACAGAACAACCACUGGAACCUUAAACUGUCCUGAUCUAGGCCAAGUGGCAUAUUUGAGCUCGUACACAUUUUGGCCAUGUGCCUCUAAAUUCGUGCUAAAUUUAUGUACCAUAUUUCCGCUCUCACUGAUGCUGAAAUUUAAAUUUGUCAGUGAUGUAACUGGAUUUUUGCGAAUUAGAAAGUACCUCAACGGGUUUUAAAAACUGGGAAAGCGUUUUUAGGCUACAAGUAAAAGUGAAGUUUGUGAUAUUGUUAUGAAAUACAAUUCUUGGCAUGUGGGAAGUCCUCAAAUACUUCUUGAAGAAUGAUCUGGAUCAAAAAGGACUUGUGGAAAUGGUAUUUUUGAUCCUGCCACUGUUUUGAUUCAGUAAUUAAAAAGAAUACUUAUGGUGCAGGCCGGGUGAUGUCUGUUUUAAAAAUAGGUCACAUAUGUGGCACAAAUUAAAAUUCUAUUUACACAUCCAUUUAUAGCUGUCUUUAACUACAUCCCUUGCAAGAUAGGCCAUUGAAAAAGUGGUUCAACCCUUAAUAUGUAUGUAUAUUUUAAUAACUUCAAGAUCAAGGAUCUGCUAAUGAGCUCACAUUUGGAUUACAUUUGAGUUGUAUGUCUGAAUUCACCUGCCACUGAUACAUCUCAAAAGAAGUACGUUUAUUUGAUCUGAGCAGUACUGUCUUUUCCUAUUUCUCUUUCUUCACCUUUAUAAAAUGGAAGUUGCAACUCUGGACAUUAUUCCUUAGGGCACUGGAAGGAUGCAUUAAAUGAUUUUAAGUACUCUUCCCCCCCAUCCCCCCACCCCCACAAGGAGAAAGAUACGGCUUCUUAAACCCCAAGUAGAAGACUGUGUUCAAUCGUUAGCAUUUUAGUAUUCUUGAAAUUGAAGUAACUAACUUGCUUUUGACCUAUUUCACAAAGAAGACAAAUGACUUUUUCAGACACUUAACAAGAGAUGGAAGGAGUGGGGUGGCUUUUGAGUUUAGUCUUUCAGUCCAUCCACUAGGUGUCUCUCUUUUCUCCAUUCAUAAAUGAAUAUAUUUCAAUUAGAUUUGCUGCUAUCAAGAACAAUUUGGAUCUGGGUUAUAGGAACAACACAUUUCACUUUCCCAUUUAAAGGAUGCCAUCCUCAGCAAUAUACCUUUGACUUCAGUAAAAACGAAAUGUUCCUUAGGCUGUUUCAGUAAUGCACAGUGUGAUUUAUUCUGCAGUAUCGGUUUGUUAACAUUCUCUAUGCUAAAUACUGUUCAAGAUGCAGGAGCAUUAUAGCAAAACAGAAAUGGUGUUCUUUUCUGAGACUUUAAGGGUAGGCUUUGUACAGUUUCUCUUUAGUGAUGUAGAUCAUUGGAAAGAUGCCAAGUUAAUUGCAAAGUCAACAAAAAUAAGAUCAGUGUCAUCUCAAGUUACAAAGACAUGAUUUGAUAAUUGUCUUUAAUUCA